rnacentral:rRNA from 1 species
UACGAAGGGGCUAGCGUUGCUCGGAAUUACUGGGCGUAAAGCGCACGUAGGCGGCUUUCUAAGUCGGGGUGAAAUCCUGGAGCUCAACUCCAGAACUGCCUUCGAUACUGGAGAGCUCGAGUCCGGGAGAGGUGAGUGGAACUGCGAGUGUAGAGGUGAAAUUCGUAGAUAUUCGCAAGAACACCAGUGGCGAAGGCGGCUCACUGGCCCGAUACUGACGCUGAGGCACGAAAGCGUGGGAGCGAGUCCGG